UACGGGGGGGGCAAGCGUUGUUCGGAAUUACUGGGCGUAAAGGGCUCGUAGGCGGCCAACUAAGUCGGACGUGAAAUCCCCAGGCUCAACCUGGGAACUGCGUCCGAUACUGGAUGGCUUGAAUUCGGGAGAGGGAUGCAGAAUUCCAGGUGUAGCGGUGAAAUGCGUAGAUAUCUGGAGGAAUACCGGUGGCGAAGGCGGCAUCCUGGACCGACAUUGACGCUGAUGAGCGAAAGCUAGGGGAGCGAACGGG
rnacentral:rRNA from 1 species